UGGGUUGCGCGUAGCGAGGCCAUUC
rnacentral:miRNA from 1 species